CGAAGCUUCAUUUAAUUUUUGGACAGGGCGUACGUAAAAGCACAGAACUCUCUUCUUUUGAAGGGAAAUCGUUCCUCGUGCGUGCUGCAGCUGCGGCCGCUGACUCGUCUCGUCAUUAAUUUCGUGUUACUGCCUCGGCAUGCUUGUAUCGAGUGCACGUUCGAAUGGAUUAUCGAUUCUUUCAUCGUGCACAGCAAAUGGCAUCGAAACAUACAUACCUACAAGCACAGUAGCAAACAAAGUCUCAAAAUAUCCUGAAAACGUACAUUUUUAAUGAAAUUUUCUUUCAACAAUUUCGUUAGUUGGUAGACCAUACUGUGUUUCAAUAAUAUUUAAUUCACGAAUUUAUGCAACAAUAUGCAAGCGAAGAAAAAUGAAAACAAUUAUUCAUCAAGGAAUAACAUAAUAUUUUUGUUAAUACUGGAAUUACCAUGUGAGUCAACGCUAUUUGUAAGUGCUUGACAGUAUCUAAGCGCCCGUCACUUCAAUUCAGAUCACACUACACGGACGGUUUUAAUACCAAUUUCAGUUAAUUCAGGCUCUUAAUGUGAAUCAGAGCGAUUGAAUUAAAUUGAACUUUUAAUAUUACGUCCCCUCCUCUUCCUCGAGUAGUGAGGUAAUAUUGUUGUCUUUUUUCUGUGCAAACAACUAACUUCAAAGGAAGAUUCUUUUAUAAAACGCAUGUACUUUGGUAUAAGUGAAAUUACCAUUUAAUUAUCAUUAUGAGAUAAAAAGCAACGAUGAGAUGUAAAUUCUACAUGGUUUCUCUCAUUGUACAAUAUUUCCAAGAAGCAAUCGGUUCUUUGUAUCGAUUAAAUUGCUUAAAUGGGGA